rnacentral:rRNA from 1 species
GACGAACGCUGGCGGCGUGCUUAACACAUGCAAGUCGAACGGAAAGGCCCUGCUUUUGUGGGGUGCUCGAGUGGCGAACGGGUGAGUAACACGUGAGUAACCUGCCCUUGACUUUGGGAUAACUUCAGGAAACUGGGGCUAAUACCGGAUAGGAGCUCCUGCUGCAUGGUGGGGGUUGGAAAGUUUCGGCGGUUGGGGAUGGACUCGCGGCUUAUCAGCUUGUUGGUGGGGUAGUGGCUUACCAAGGCUUUGACGGGUAGCCGGCCUGAGAGGGUGACCGGCCACAUUGGGACUGAGAUACGGACCCGACUCCUACGGGAGGCAGCAGUGGGAAUUAUUGCAAAAUGGGCGGGAGCCUGAGGCAGCAACGGCGCGGGCGGGAUGGCGACCUUCGGGUUGUGAACCGCUUUCGCCUGUGACGAAGCGUGAGUGGCGGUAAUGGGUAAAGAAGCACCGGCUAACUACGUG